rnacentral:misc_RNA from 1 species
AAGUCGUAACAAGGUCUCCGUAGGUGAACCUGCGGAGGGAUCAUUACCGAGUGAGGGCCCCGCCCGACCUCCCAACCCUUUGUAAAUCGACCCUGUUGCCUCGGGGACUCCGGCGUCUUCGGGCACCGGGCCCCGGUGGACCCCAACCUCUGCGUCUUUGCGUCUGAGUCUUGAAUGAUAAAAUCAAUAAAA